CCCGCCUGCCCCAGCAUCCCCCGCGCGGCGAAGCUGGGCGCCCCGGGGAGUCUGGCCACCAUGCCACCUCCUCUCCUCUUCCUCCUCUUCCUUACCCCUAUGGGGGUCAGGCCCGAGGAUCCACGCCUAGUGGAGGCUAAAGAGGGAGGCAAUGCUGUGCUUCCAUGCCUUGAAGGUUCCUCGGAUGGUCCCCCUGAACACCUGGCCUGGUUUCGGGGCUCCCAAUUAAAACCCUUCUUAGAGUUGAGCCUGGGGUUACCAGGCCUGGGCAUCCAUGUGGGGCCUCUGGGCACCCUGAAGGAGCCCCAGGGAACCCUGCUGUUUCUCUUCAAUGUCUCCAAACAUAUGGGGGGCUUCUACCUGUGCCAGUCAGGCCUGCCUUCUGAGCAGGGCUGGCAGCCCGGCUGGACGGUCAGCGUGAAAGACAGCGGGAAACUGUUCCGGUGGAAUGCUUCAGACCUCAGUGACCUAGGCUGUGACUCGGGGAACAUCUCAACGGGCCGCAAGCCCUCUUCUGGUCACCUCACAAAGUCCCAGCUGCAUGUGUGGGGCUGGGACCACUUUAAGGAGAUCUCACACACAGAAACGGCCUGUGCUCCAUCAAAUAGCACAUUGAACCAGAGUAACAACCGUGACCUCACUGUGGCCCCGGGCUCCACGCUCUUGCUGUCCUGUGGGGCCUCCCGUACCUCCCUCGUCAGAGGCUCUGUCUCCUGGAUCCACAAGUAUCCCAUGAAGCCUGAUGUCAAAUUGCUGAGCCUAAACGUGAGCGAACAUGCCCAGCACAGAGAGAUGUGGGUCAUGGGCACCCUUGGGGGAAAGGUGGUUCUGUUACUGCCCGAGGCUACAGCUCAAGAUGCUGACACCUAUCGUUGUAACCACGGCAACAAGACCACCCAGAUGCAGCUGAAGGUCACGGCCCAGUCAGUAUGGCAUUGGCUGCUGGAGACUGGUGUCUGGAAAGUCCCUGUUGCGACUUUAAUUUAUCUGAUCUUCUGCCUGACUUCCCUGGUGGGUUUUCUUUAUUUUCGAAGAGCCCUGAUCCUGAGGAGGAAAAGAAAGCGAAUGACAGAUCCCACUAGAAGGUUCUUCAAAGUGACGCCUCCCCCGGGAAACGGAGCCAGCAGCCAGUACGGAAACAUGCUUUCCCUCUCCAUGCCCCACUCUGGCACGGGACGCGCCCUGCGGUGGGCUGCGGGCCUCGGAGCCGCCGCGCCGUCCUACGGAAACCCGCGCAGCGACGUCCAGGAGGCUAGAGCCGCGGGGUCCCGGAGCCCGCCAGGAACCGGCCCAGAAGAAGAGGAAGGGGAGGCCUACGAGGAACCGGACAGUGAAGAGGGCUCCGAGUUUUACGAGAACGACUCCAAGCUUGGGCAGGACCAACUCUCCCAGGAUGGCAGCGGCUAUGAGAACCCUGAGGAAGGGAGCUUGGAUCCUCAGGAUGAAGACUCCUUUUCUAACGGAGCUGAGUCUUAUGAGAAUGAAGAUGAAGAACUGGCCCCGACUGUCACCAGGACAACAGACUUCCUGAGCCCCCAUGGAUCAGCCUGGGACCCCAGCAGGGAGGCAACCUCCCUUGGGUCCCAAUCCUAUGAGGAUAUGAGAGGGAUCUUGUAUGCAGCUCCCCAGCUCCGUUUCGUUCGAGCCCAGCCUGGUGCCAACCAUGAGGAAGAUGCAGACUCUUAUGAGAACAUGGAUAAUCCCGAUGGACCAGAGCCAGCAUGGGGAGGAGGGGCUCGCAUAGGGUGGAGCACCAGGUGACUCCCUUCAGCCUGAGCCUCUUCAGGGCCCUGAGGUCCUCACCCGACUUCGAAAUCUGGGACCCCAAGAAGACAGCGUCAGCCUCUGGAACAAUGUUUUGUCAGCCUUUGGAUUUACAGGAACAGUUGUCAGUUGAAGACACUCAUCAUCAAUUACAGGAAGAACUGUCAGUUAAAGACCCUAAUGGAAGAACCAUGGACCGGAAAGAAUCUUCAGUUACAGGUCCCAAGAGGAAAAGAUGUACGUUUCAUCUCCUAGAAGAAAUCCAUUACCCCAGCAACUCGGACAGUGAGAAGCCAUCAUUACCCUGAACUCCCACUUUUCUCCAGUGGACAUUCCUUCAAAACAACCCCUCCCAAUGUCUUCCCUUUUUUUCCUAUACAAUGACCUUCUCUGUUUAUUGGCCUUGCCUAUGGCUUUUGCUAUAACUUCCUUGUUCUCUACUGUUCCUGAAUAAAUCUAUUCUUGCUGGUAAAAAUAA